rnacentral:rRNA from 1 species
GAUGAACGCUAGCUACAGGCUUAACACAUGCAAGUCGAGGGGCAGCAUGAACAAAGCUUGCUUUGUUUGAUGGCGACCGGCGCACGGGUGCGUAACACGUAUCCAAUCUGCCCGCGGCUCGGGGAUAGCCCAUCGAAAGAUGGAUUAAUACCCGAUGGCGUGGUCACUCCGCCUGGAGUUUCCACUAAAGGUUUUCCGGCCGCGGACGAGGAUGCGUAUGAUUAGGUAGUAGGCGGGGUAACGGCCCACCUAGCCUUCGAUCAUUAGGGGUUCUGAGAGGAAGGUCCCCCACACUGGAACUGAGACACGGUCCAGACUCCUACGGGAGGCAGCAGUGAGGAAUAUUGGUCAAUGGGCGAGAGCCUGAACCAGCCAAGUAGCGUGAAGGAAGACUGCCCUAUGGGUUGUAAACUUCUUUUGUUCGGGAAUAAAGUGCAGUAUGUAUACUGUUUUGUAUGUACCGUUCGAAUAAGCAUCGGCUAAUUCCGUGCCAGCAGCCGCCGUAACAC